rnacentral:lncRNA from 1 species
UCAUUAUUUGCUACUGUUUUGAGUUUUGACAUUCAGGUUUCUGUUCUUCUAAAUGAUGCUACAGUGACUAUUUUUAGUAUGGAUAUCUGUCCACAUUUAAGGAUAUUUUCUUAGGCUUUAUUCUUGCAAAAGUCAAGAAAGAUGAACAAAUGGAGCAACUUAUGUUCUAGACUCCCAACUUCCUCACCUAUCAUAAAGCACAGCAGAAACCACAAUAAUGGCAGCAAACACUUCCCCAGCAUACCCUGUGCUGGGCCUGUUUCUAGGAGUUUUACAUGUCCCAAGUCAUUUAAUCUCCCCAGUGGCCCUGUGGGUACCUCCCUGUCAUAGAAGUAGCUUGUCCAAAGUGGCACAGUCUGUCAGGGUGGAGGUAGGAUUCGACCCAGGUGGUCUGGCUCACAGUCCUUGCUCUGAACUGCUGUGAUCAUAUGGCCCCUGAGGAAAGAACUAAACCCAGUGACCCCUAGGCUACCUUUCCUCCCAAUGUUAGCUGCAUUAUCCUAUCCUACACUAGCCAUGUGCCCAGGUAACAUGGCUGCCUGGUAGGAGUUCACCGGCUCCUUGAAUCCUCUUCAUCUGCCCAUUUGAGUGCCUGAUGAGGUUGGGGUCUCACAUGUGAGUGGGUGUGAAUGGGCACAUAUGUGUGUGUGCUUAUAGAAUCUUUGGAAUGGAAUGGAGCACGCAGAGAGAAUGUGAAACAAGAAAGCCCAAGCAAUCUAUUGGCAAAACAAUAAGACACGGGCCAUCUCUGCUAAUAGCUAUAGAUAACAUCAUGGUUUCCUUUUUAUCUUAAGGUUCUCAGGCUCCUUGGCUGGGGAAUUUGUCAUUUGAUAAUUGGACUGUCACCUCAGCGCAGCAGGGCUGGGAUUGGAUGUGGCUGUCUGGCACAACCCCAUCCCAAAAGCACGUGUCUGCACUUAUGAUCUGAAGGGCACCUCCCCUUCCCAAGCAGCUGCGCCCACAUUGUCAAGAGCAUUGCUGGGUAUGAUCAUCCAUCCUGUGGGGAAAGAGGUCAUUGACAGACUCAUCACUGCGACAACAUGUCCAUGCUGCUUUUACUGCUUGCUCAAUAGUGAGAUUGUGGGGCUCCUUGGGAUUCUGACUUAGUAAAUCUGGGAGAAGCUGCGACGUGUGCUCCAAGCAGUUACCUUCCUGAGGUUUGUGAAAUCUUAGGCAGUGGGUCUCAGCCCUCAUAGGGCUUCAGAACCAUAGAGACACUUUAAAAAAAAAUACCACUUCCUUCUCCCUCUGCUGUCUUGUUCCCUCUCCAUCUCCAACUUGAAUAAUUUAUCUGGGAUGGAGUCCUGGUGCAGCAUUUAAAAAAAAGCUUCUCAAGAGACUUUCAUGUGCAGCUGGAGUUGGGAACCACUAGUCUAAGAAAUUCUGGCAAGAAUAAUUUUAUGCCUUUACAUUUAAGUGCACUUCACAUUUUACAAACCUUUUCCACAAUUGAACAUCACAACAAUCCACUAAGGUCAGCAGAGCAGGCAUUUUUAUGAUUGAUCCUGGUCCAGAGACGUUGACUAAGUUGCCCAAGGUUGCACAGCUUCUCCCUCAUUCAGCAGCACCUGUUCUCUGCCCAGCCCAGGCCAGACCUGCCAGGCCCUCUGGGAGGGGGCAGCCUCCCCUCCCCUUAAGAUCUUCUAGGAUCGGGAUCCCUGGGUGGCGCAGCGGUUUGGCGCCUGCCUUUGGCCCAGGGCGCGAUUCUGGAGACCCGGGAUCGAACCCCACGUCGGGCUCCCGGUGCAUGGAGCCUGCUUCUCCCUCUGCCUAUGUCUCUGCCUCUCUCUCUCUCUCUCUGUGACUAUCAUAAAUAAAUAAAAAUUAAAAAAAAAAUUUAAAAAAAAAAAA